ACAUGCCUACAACAUAGUUUUAAUGCACUGGAUCCCAUUAGAACUCUCCAGUUAAGCACGCUCAGGCUAGAGUAGUACUGGGAUGGGUGACCGCCCAAGAAGUCCUAGUGUUUUACAUGCC
rfam:Picea glauca, whole genome shotgun sequence.